GCUGGAUGUGCUUUGUCAGUAGCAAGAGAAAGGAAACAGUGAAGGUCAGCUGGGGACAAUGUAGGAAUGGCAGCGAUAGGCUGUGGCAAUGGAGUGAAAGUUGGCCAAAGGACAGACAUGGCAAGGAGACAGGCAGAGGUUGUCAGAAAGCAUGUGACUGAACCAGGCCUAUCAACUGGGCCUGGCUAGGAGGGACAAGCAGCCAGUGAUAGAACUGUAUAAAAUAUGCUGAGAUCUGUAACUGGGUGUGGAUUUCUGUUGCUGUGCCAAGCCGAAGUCUCACCACCUCUUUGCAAACAGCUUUUCCAAUAAAUCUCACUUCUGGUUGA